CAUACUAUACUUUACGUAGUCUACAAAGCCUCUAGACAAGAAACGUUAUCUUAUAAGGGUCGGGACAGGCCCCGCCUCAUGAUAAGAUACUAUACAAUGCAAAAAGAUAUGAUAAGACUCAAAGCCCCGAAGCAACCUGGAGCUCAGUGACUGCGGUUGAUAUCCUGUACUCUUACUAGGGAGGUUUAUUAGCUUCUGUACUAGGGAGGUGUAUUAGCUUCUGUACCUGCAGCAUGGAAUGCAGGUCCCCCAAGAGGGACGUCAGUACGAAAUAAUGUACUGAAUAUGUAAGGCAAUAUGUAAUAUAUGAGAUAAAAACUCAAAUGAAACCAUGUACUGCUGUGGGGUAAAAGACCACCUUUAUGAAUAUUGUGGAGUCAUGUGUCUUAUAACAAUUAUGUUACUUUACUCUUAUUACUUGAAUAAUCUGUGCACAGCAUGUAAUACAAAUGACCAGCUGAUCAGUGGUAAUUCUAUAUCAGGAUCGACCCAUGCUAGGCUUUCCUUUCACCCCUGGGAUACCCCCUGUAAUACUGGGAUUGACCCAUGCUAGGUGAUUCUUUCACCCCUGGGAUACCACCCAACAGAAGCAACUGUAUACAUA
rnacentral:lncRNA from 1 species